CUCAUACUUCCUCCGUCUCAAAAUUUUUGUCUUAGGUUUAUCUAAAAAUAAAUGUAUCUAAAUACUAAAAUGUGACNNNNUACAUUCAUAUCUAGACAAAUUUAAGGCAAUUUUUUUGAAACGGAGGGAGUAUAAG
rfam:Hordeum vulgare subsp. vulgare, WGS project CAJW01000000 data, contig: morex_contig_2546961